UGCACAGGAGCACAGCGAUUUCAUAUUUCCCGUUGGUGUUACAGUUUGUUAUGUAUUUUGAUAUUUUAUGCAUUUCUUUUCCGUACCAUGUACUCGGAGCAAAAAUAAAUUGAAGGGAGAUUGAAAUCGUGAUUGGAAACAGGAAUAGAUUAAAAUCGUUUUAUUGUGCAUCCAUGGGUGUUGAAACAUUAGUGGGGACAGUUGUAGCAGAAAACAGAUGAUCUGAUGUUGUGAUGCUGUUAGCAAAGCAGUCGUUUUCGUUCAGAAACGCUUCUAAUUCUACGAUUUUACUCUGUCUGAUUAGAGUGUGAAUUAGACUGGCAUGAGAUUUUGCGUUUGGGAAAGCAAGGUAGUUGGAUGCGAUAAGAUUUUGAUCAAGGUCUUCACAUGAUGUCUGCUGAGUGAUUUCACAGCUGUAGUAUUUUUUUUUGUGGCCAGUGCUUCGUACACCAACACGCCUAAAAGGUAAAGGACAAUUAAUUAUUUUUUUAGUGGGAUUAUAAGAUAAAGUUACUACCCAAGUUUGGUGUUGAAAAAUUCCCAGCGAUCCAUGCUGAGAAGUUCCAAAUUUGGUAAUUGGUUUGCGAAUACGACUAUGGUGUUGGAUUUCGGUGUUUUGACACACCCUCUGUACUUGUUACUCAAUAGAAAUCGACCUUUGAGGUCUUCGAUCAGUGCGAAAAAAUCGUUAAUUUUUGAGUUGUCGCUUCUGGCGAAAUCGAAAACGUAACCGUUGCUAUUUGAUUCAAUCAUGCCGCAAAUGUCUCGUGUUUCUCCCACUUUCAAU